rnacentral:rRNA from 1 species
UACGGAGGGAGCUAGCGUUGUUCGGAAUUACUGGGCGUAAAGCGCACGUAGGCGGCUAUUCAAGUCGGGGGUGAAAGCCCGGGGCUCAACCCCGGAACUGCCCUCGAAACUAGGUAGCUAGAAUCUUGGAGAGGUCAGUGGAAUUCCGAGUGUAGAGGUGAAAUUCGUAGAUAUCGGGAGGAACACCAGUGGCGAAGGCGGCGACCUGGGCAGAUACUGACACUGAGGUGCGAAAGCGUGGGGAGCAAACAGG